UUGAGAGUUUGAUCCUAGCUCAGGACGAACGCUGGCGGCGUGGAUAAGGCAUGCAAGUCAAACGGUCCAAUUUAUUGGACAGUGGCAAACGGGGUAGUAACACGUGGGUACUUACCCCAGAGUCGGGCAUAACUAGUCGAAAGAUUAGCUAAUUCCCGAUAGUCCCGUAAGGGUAAAGGAGUAAUCCGCUCUGGGAAAGGCCUGCGAGCUAUCAGCUUGUUGGUAAGGUAACGGCUUACCAAGGCGAUGACGGCUAGGGGAGGUGAGAGCCUGACCCCCACCAUUGGGACUGCGACACGGCCCAAACACCUACGGGUGGCUGCAGUCGAGAAUCUUCCACAAUGAGCGAAAGCUUGAUGGAGCGACGCCGCAUGCAGGAAGAAGCUCUUCGGGGCGUAAACUGCUUUUAUAGGGGAGGAAUGUAAAUGACUGUACCCUAUGAAUAAGGACCUGCUAAUCUCGUGCCAGCAGCCGCGGUAAUACGAGAGGUCCAAGUGUUGUCCGGAUUAACUGGGCGUAAAGGGUGUGUAGGGGGUAAUGUUAGUCCUGCUUUAAAUCGCGAGGCCCAACCUCGCGGCCGGGUAGGAAACGGCAUAACUGGAGGAUGCGAGAGGUACAUGGAACUCAUGGUGUAGGGGUGAAAUCCGUUGAUAUCAUGGGGAACACCAAAAGCGAAGGCAAUGUACUGGCGCAUACCUGACCCUGAGACACGAAAGCGUGGGGAUCAAAAAGGAUUAGAUACCCUUGUAGUCCACGCUGUAAACGAUGAUGACUAGCUAUUGGAAGUAUCGACCCUUCCGGUGGCGAAGCUAACGCGUUAAGUCAUCCGCCAGGGAAGUACGGCCGCAAGGCUAAAACUCAAAGGAAUAGACGGGGACUUGCACAAGCGGUGGAGCAUGUGGUUUAAUUCGUCGCUAACCGAAGAACCUUACCAGGGCUUGACACCACGUCGACGGCUCUCCGAAAGGAGCGCUUUCUCACAAGGACGGCGUGGCAGGUGUUGCAUGGUUGUCGUCAGUUCGUGGUGUGAACUGUCCCCUUAAUUGGGUCAACGAACGCAACCCUUGUUGUCUGUUAUACGUGUCAGACGAGACUGCCCGGCUCAGCCGGGAGGAAGGAGGGGAUGACGCCAAAUCAGCAUGACCCUUUGAUGCCCUGGGCUACACACGUGCUACAAUGGGAUGUACAACGGGCCGCGAAACCGCGAGGUGGAGCAAAUCCCUUAAAACAUCCCUCAGUUCGGAUUGGAGUCUGCAAUUCGACUCCAUGAAGUCGGAAUCGCUAGUAAUCGCGGGUCAGCUAUACCGCGGUGAAUACGUUCUCAAGUCUUGUACUCACCGCCCGUCAACUCAAGGGAGCCGGGAGUACCCGAAGGUUCGCUUCAUGCGGAACUAAGGUAAGUUCGGUAACAGGGAGUAAGUCGUAACAAGGCACGGGUAGCGGAAGCUG
rnacentral:rRNA from 1 species